rnacentral:rRNA from 1 species
GAUGAACGCUGGCGGCGUGCUUAACACAUGCAAGUCGAACGAAGCACUUAACCUGAUUCUUCGGAUGAAGGUUUUUGUGACUGAGUGGCGGACGGGUGAGUAACGCGUGGGUAACCUGCCUCAUACAGGGGGAUAACAGUUAGAAAUGACUGCUAAUACCGCAUAAGACCACAGAGCCGCAUGGCUCGGUGGGAAAAACUCCGGUGGUAUGAGAUGGACCCGCGUCUGAUUAGGUAGUUGGUGGGGUAACGGCCUACCAAGCCAACGAUCAGUGGCCGACCUGAGAGGGUGACCGGCCACAUUGGGACUGAGACACGGCCCAAACUCCUACGGGAGGCAGCAGUGGGGAAUAUUGCACAAUGGGGGAAACCCUGAUGCAGCGACGCCGCGUGAGCGAAGAAGUAUUUCGGUAUGUAAAGCUCUAUCAGCAGGGAAGAAAAUGACGGUACCUGACUAAGAAGCACCGGCUAAAUACGUG